rnacentral:rRNA from 1 species
CCUACGGGUGGCAGCAGUGAGGAAUAUUGGUCAAUGGGCGAGAGCCUGAACCAGCCAAGUCGCGUGAGGGAGUACUGCCCUAUGGGUUGUAAACCUCUUUUGUCGGGGAGCAAAAGCCGGAAGUGUCCGGCUGUGAGAGUACCCGAAGAAAAAGCAUCGGCUAACUCCGUGCCAGCAGCCGCGGUAAAACGGGGGAUGCGAGCGUUAUCCGGAUUUAUGGGGGUUAAAGGGUGCGCAGGCGGGUUUUUAAGUCAGAGGUAAAAGCGUGGGACUAAACCCCAUCCAGCCGUUGAAACCGGGGGUCGGGAGUGUACUAGAGGUAUGCGGAAUGCGUGGUGUAGCGGUGAAAUGCGUAGAUAUCACGCAGAACCCCGAUUGCGAAGGCAGCAUACCGGUGCGCAACUGACGCUCAGGCACGAAAGCGUGGGUAUCGAACAGGAUUAGAUACCCCUGUAGUC